rnacentral:rRNA from 1 species
AAAUUGAAGAGUUUGAUCAUGGCUCAGAUUGAACGCUGGCGGCAGGCCUAACACAUGCAAGUCGAGCGGUAGCACAGAGAGCUUGCUCUCGGGUGACGAGCGGCGGACGGGUGAGUAAUGUCUGGGAAACUGCCUGAUGGAGGGGGAUAACUACUGGAAACGGUAGCUAAUACCGCAUAAUGUCGCAAGACCAAAGUGGGGGACCUUCGGGCCUCAUGCCAUCAGAUGUGCCCAGAUGGGAUUAGCUAGUAGGUGGGGUAACGGCUCACCUAGGCGACGAUCCCUAGCUGGUCUGAGAGGAUGACCAGCCACACUGGAACUGAGACACGGUCCAGACUCCUACGGGAGGCAGCAGUGGGGAAUAUUGCACAAUGGGCGCAAGCCUGAUGCAGCCAUGCCGC